GCGGAGGUGGUCGAGCCUGGACUAAGGCGCCGGACUUGAAAUCCGGUGGGGCUCUGCCCCGCA
rnacentral:tRNA from 1 species